UGUACCUGUUCAGAAAAGGUCUCAAGCUAUUAGCCAACUGGGUUUCAGUUUAGAUUGUGAGGUCUGGCUCCAGCCAACGGAGACACAGCAGUAAGGACAACCCCA